rnacentral:rRNA from 1 species
UACGUAGGGUCCAAGCGUUAUCCGGAAUCACUGGGCGUAAAGCGUGCGUAGGCGGACGUUAAGUGUGAUGUUAAAUCGUGUGGCUCAACCAUAUCGAUGCAUCGCAUACUGGAUGUCUGGGAGAAAGGCAGAGGCAAGUGGAAUUGGCAGUGUAGCGGUAAAAUGCGUAGAUAUUGCCAGGAACACCAAUGGCGAAGGCAGCUUGCUGGGCCUUUUCUGACGCUGAGGCACGAAAGCGUGGGGAGCGAACAGG